GGAUCCCUGGUGCGUGCCACUGUGCCCAGCACGCGCCACACUUCUUCUGCCCCCUCGAUUUCCUAGCUCUUCCUUCCUCCUCUGGCCCUCUAGGAUUUCUUCUGGCUUUUUAUUCCCAGCUAAACAGCUUAAUUAAGAAGGUGUAUCAACAUGGAACUCCAACCUGCUUAUUUCCUCUUAGCUAUAUUUUCACUAAUAUUUUCUUCUUUCUUCCCCGUCAUCUAAUCAUUUUCUUUCUUAUCCUUUCGUCUCAGAAUAAGCAGGAUCUUAUUUUUUUCCAAAAGAACCGCAAUCCUAGUUCUUCACCUGCCCUCAAGAGUUUGGUCGCCGUGUGGUGUGAAAACAAACAGCAGCCCCAGAGCUAACUCCCUCAGCUUCCUCCCGCACCGUCCUCCUGGGCAGAGCCCUGCGGAAAGCCGCGCAAGCGAGCAAGGCCGUUGGACAGCGCGUGACCCACACCAGCCCCGCCGCACACUGCCCCGAACCGAAGUCCUUUCCACCGGGACGGAGCCGGAUUUUACACCUCUGACUCCUGUCAGUACUCGGAAUGGCGGAGCUGAAGGACUGACUCACUCGCGCUGGCCCUCCCGGGCUGUGUGGGCCGCCGCCCGCUCGCGCGGCAGCAUUUGAACUCACCGCGUCGGCCUGUGCGAGCGCUCCGCGGCAGGCAGGGAGCCGGGGGAGCUGCGUUCGCUUACGGAGCCGCGUCGGGAGGCAGGGCUGGCGCGGGCCUGCUGGCCGUACUUCACUGCGCACCGGCCGCUCCAGGCCCGAGACACAAGAGGAGGCUUUCCUGAAGGGCCUUUUAGAGACAGGCGCGAGCUGAAACCCGGCCCCGAGCGCUCCGCACGCUUUGAGCGCGCUGCGCAUCUGCCCCCGGCAGAGGAAGGCCCGGGUGGAGCCCUGGGCAGGCCGCAGAAAUGGGAAUCUUCAAAACAAGGACAGUCUCCUCCCUUUCUGUCCAUCCCCUUCAAUUUUCUGAUCCUUUCCCUCCACUCCCUCUUUCUUGUAAAGACUCAAACUCUGAAAUAAUUAUAUGAAAUUAAGUCGGUAAACGCCAGCCUCGCUUCCUCGAGAUUGAUGUGUUCACGUUUCGGGCAGUUUUCUCAGGACUCGGAGGGACUAUUAUUUCUGAGCUUGGCUGGGAAUCUCCCUCCUCCCCGGGCAGAGAAGAGCCUCCUCCUCCGAAACCGCAGUUGCUCUCUUCCGUGACACCUCCCCCGAGACACGGCCUGUGCCCAGGAGAGGUUCACGCAGUGCGUUUCUGUUUGUUUGUUUGCUUUCCUGAGUGCUCAAGGAUUUUCUUCUGGCCACACCUACCCGCAGCUGCAAAAGAGGAGAAACUCUCUGUGCCAGGCUGAGUGGGGAAAGCACGUGUCCCUUGGCCACAGGGAGGGACGGUUUGCCAGUCCGGCUCGUGGGGAAGCGGGUGAGGGAGACUCUUUCCAGCCCCACCUGUCUGCUCCUAUCUGUGUAUCGGGAUGAGCAGGCGGUGGAUUGUGAGCGAAAAGGCAUCUUCAUGCAAAUUAUAUUGCCCUGAAAAAUAAUAACUCACAACGGUGUGACCUUGCUCUCACUUUCCACUACGUGCAUAAGAUAAAUGCGAGAUAACUAGGAUUCUCUGCCCUGGAGAAUGGCUUGGGCGCCCUGUCCUGCAGCUGGGCUGAAUUCCCCACGUUGCCUUGGAGCCUGCAGGGAGACUAGCAGCGUCCGGUUCAGGAGGUGCCUGCCUGCCUGCCCUGACACAUCUCUGCUAAUUAUGACGGCUUUGUAACCCUGGGCCCUUCUGCCCCCGGGGCUCGUAAAAGGUGCCCGCAACCUCAGCCUUCCUGUGCCUCCCUGCCCCUAGGUAGAAAUCCUCCCCUUGCAGGAAGUGCAGAGCAGAGUUCAAAGCUUUCUUGGUCAAAAGAAGGUACGCCUGAUCCAGUAUAACAUGAUUAGGUACCAAUUAGACCGAAAAAUGCCGGGUCCCCUGCCUCUCUGGCCAGCGCUGGCCCCUGGCCACCCCUGCCUUUUUGGAAGAUAUUUACCCUUUCCUCGGUCAGCAGGAAAACGCAAACUCAAACUGAGCACGUCUAGGGUCAACGCCACAGGCCUCGGGCUGUGUGCGGAUAAGGGGCUCUAAAGAGUCUGAGAUGUGAGGUCCCCACCGAGCGUAGCUCAGGGACAGAGCUCAAGGGAGAGAGGACACAGGGGAAGCCCGCGUCCACGGACCCCAGCGCAGGCCCCAGUGCUCUGGUGAUUCGCUGUGUGACUGCCAGGCCUGUUUCCUUGCUAUAAAACAAGCCCAGUUCAACCUAUGGUAGAAGGAGGUUAAAGGGGACCGUAAAUCUUUCUGGGCAUUGAAGAUGCGUGGCAAACCCAGCCUGAUGUCUUUUACAUCUGUUUCGGGCUCGCAGCCUCAGCUGGCUCCGCUGCCUUCUCUGCCGCGGUCCCUCCAGGCACCCCCGGCCGGCUGAGUGGCAGG
ensembl:lincRNA